rnacentral:hammerhead_ribozyme from 1 species
AUCCAGCUGACGAGUCCCAAAUAGGAUGAAACGCAUGUCCUGAAU